CCUACGGGGGGCAGCAGUGGGGAAUAUUGGGCAAUGGGCGCAAGCCUGACCCAGCAACGCCGCGUGAAGGAAGAAGGCUUUCGGGUUGUAAACUUCUUUUGACAGGGAAGAGUAGAAGACGGUACCUGUGGAAUAAGCCACGGCUAACUACGUGCCAGCAGCCGCGGUAAUACGUAGGUGGCAAGCGUUGUCCGGAUUUACUGGGUGGAAAGGGCGUGUAGCCGGGUUGACAAGUCAGAUGUGAAAUCCUGCGGCGUAACCGCAGAACUGCAUUUGAAACUGUUAAUCUUGAGUACUGGAGAGGCAGACGGAAUUCCUAGUGUAGCGGUGAAAUGCGUAGAUAUUAGGAGGAACACCAGUGGCGAAGGCGGUCUGCUGGACAGCAACUGACGGUGAGGCGCGAAAGCGUGGGGAGCAAACAGGAUUAGAUACCCCUGUAGUC
rnacentral:rRNA from 1 species